UUAAAACAGUUAAUUAUGUAUUGUGCCAAAGACCAAACCAAAAACCAACAUUAACACAAACACAAAAUAAAAUACAAGUAUUAUAACUGGUCUUAACAGAAAACUGCAGAAGACACAAUUUUCCUUUUAUAUUUAAUAAGGUUUUUAAUCAUUCAAUCUAAUAAUUUGUAGUUAUUUCAAAUUUUGAUUGCAAUAUAAAAACGCAAAUGGAUAUAAAACAAGAGGUUAGUGAGAUUUAUAAAGUGGAAAUGCAUAAUGAGAUGGAUGAUGGUUUCUUGACUAAUUGUAAAAUUGAAAUUCGGGAGGAAUUCAAGAAAGAAAGCGUACAUGAUACAUUUGUUUAUUCAGACUCACAGCAAUUCUCCACAAAGAUUGAAGUAAAAGAAGAUGAAAGCAAACUUAAACCCAUUGAAGAAAUAGCAACAAAUAAUGAAAAUGGUAUCUAUCAAAAACUAAAGAACAAACAAAUGUAAUUUCCAGGGUCAAAGGAAACAUUAAGGAAAACGAUAAUUGGAUUAAGCUUUAGACUUUCUUCAAGAAGAGGAUACACUGGAGGGUAAAAUACCUAUACAUUCAAACAAUAAAAAACAUGUAAAUCGACAUGCUGAAGAAAAAGCAAUACAAUGUGAAAUAUGUUUUAAACAGUUUUCCAGAAAAAAGAAUUUAAAUACACACAGGAAAGUUCACUCUGCAGAAAAACCUCAUAAGUGUGAAAUUUGUUUUAAGCAGUUCACUGAAACAAACGACUUGAAACGACAUAUUAGAAUUCACACUGGAGAAAAACCGUACCAUUGCGAAAUUUGUUUUAAGAAAUUUAAUCGUUUGCAUCAUUUGAAAUCACAUUUGAGAAUACACACUGGAGAAAAGCCUUACCAGUGUGAAAUUUGUUUAAAACAGUUUUCUAAAAAACAUAAUUUAAAUGCACACAGCAAAAUUCACUCUGGAGAAAACCCUCACAAGUGUGAAAUUUGUUUUAAGCCAUUUAAUAAUGAACGUAAUUUGAAAAUACAUUUAAGAUUGCACACUGAAGAACAACAUUACAAGUGUGAAAUCUGUUUUAAGCAAUUUAGUGAAGCAGGUUCUUUGAAAAUACAUUUGAGAGUGCACGUUGGAGAAAAACCUUAUAAGUGUAAAACUUGUUUUAAGCAGUAUAGACGAAUUAGUAGUUUAAAAAAUCAUUUGAGGCUUCACACUGAAGUAAUAAUAAAAUAAACUAUUAAGGUAUUUCUAAUUUCUUUAAAUUAUUUUAAAAGUUAAAAUUUUUAAAAUAGUUAAAAAUUUUAUUUACUGCAGUUCUUCUGAAUAAAUAAAUAUAUAGACAAUUA